AUACCUUUCUCGGCCUUUUGGCUAAGAUCAAGUGUAGUAUCUGUUCUUAUCUAUUUGUUAGAUUAGAUCUACUGCAUGGGUACUCUUAUCCACCACCUCCU
rnacentral:snRNA from 1 species